CUUUUAUUUGUUUGGUAAGUGUGGGUCAAAUAUUUACAACUGAUGUCACUCCUUUAUUCACUAAAAUAUAACACGGAACUAGAAAACUGGUGGAGGGAGGGAGCGCUGGUGGAGGGAGGGGAGAGGAAGGGAGUGGAGGGUGCAGAGUGUCAGGAAGAGGAAGAGCGAGAGUGUUGCAAGAGAAGUACUGGUCUGUGCUGCGUGUGGGAAGUGACUUUAGUGGCGGCGUGAAGGCGAGGACACGAGUGAGGUGCUGGCAGGCUGACUGAGCGCAAUGGACCAACACGAAUAGCUGGAGCUCGGGGGACAGGCGCGCGAAGGCAGACGGCGACAGAUUCGUGACUCAAAACAAAAGCAUCGUGACAGCACAAGUGGGAGCAUCCGUCAUUCUUCACUGCAAGACCUCAAGUGCGACUGGCGGCCUGAUUUUUUUAAGAAUACGCUGCUCUGAGGCAAGCACUGAGAAACCAGGAAUGUCAUGGCCUCCAAUACGAUGACUGGUGAGGUAAACAAGUUAUGUCACUCGUGAUGGCGCAGGCGGCGAGUGGAGGCGAGGCUGCCCACCGCAUCCAUCCUCUGAGUGGCAUUAGUGCAGGAGUCCUUGUCUCAUCAGCCUCGGCCUCCACAAACACGGGCUGCUUUAACACUUGUGAAUACAAGGCAAAAAACAUGGUGUCUUGGAUCAGGAAGAGGGACUACCAGCUCCUGACGGUGAGUCUGUACACACACUCCAGUGACGACCGCUUCUCCAUCAACUACGUGCAUUGGGUGAGUGUUUGCUCUUGUGUGUGUGUGUGUGUGUGUGUGUGUGUGUAGAGGGGGUAUUUUCUCAUGAAUGUAAAUAUUAAUGUAUAGAUUCUCUCUCUCUCUCUCUCUCUCUCUCUCUCUCUCUCUCUCUCUCUCUCUCUCUCUCUCUCUAUCUCUUUGGCCCUAUAUUUAGCAGUGGGAAUUCCAGGCACUGCAGGUGUUUAGCUGAAAGAAAAUGUCACGUUGCGAGAGAGACCAGUGUGUAAUGACUCUUGGAUUGAAAAUAUUGAAGUGCAGUUGUGUGCAUGACCUAAUGAAGGUGACGCCAAGCACACUCAAUGAUUUAACGGUAAAUUUUUUUUUAACAAUGAAGAUGAAUAGAUCAAAGUCAAUAACAUGAACAGUUAAUCAUUAAGCAAUAUAUUAGCUUCGAUUACUAAUUAAAAGUUAAUAAAAAACUGACAUGGAAUAAAAAUCAUAAACCAAUAUUUCCUAAACUCUUCAGUUCUUCCUUAUUUAAUGAAUUGAAGUAAGAUUUAAUUAAUUUUCAUGUUCAUUACAAAUCAAGCAUUUCAACGCUUCACAUGCAUGCAUAUUCACAGACAACAAUAAUGUUAACGAAACACAGAUGAAGCACAACACUCAUGAUUGCAGUCGUCCAAUCAGUCCCUAACAUCCUCGUCCAUAUUAAACACGAUGACGCCCAAAAUAUUUGUUUACAAUUACACACAUGCACGAAAUAUUGCCAUACACUUUCAUUAAACCCUGCUGGUCAUGAUGUCGGGGCGGCCACCACUGCCUGACACACACACACACACACACACACACACACACACUCGUUCACCAUAACACGCCUACAAUUGAAUAACAAGACUGAGGAUGUAUUGUGUGUGGCGGCGCAGGUGUGUGCUGUCUUAUCCCAGCGGCGAGCUAGUAUUGUGGCGCCAUUGUGUUGCCAUUGCAGUCAACACUUCACCGAUUUUUUGAGGCCACGGCGGCUCGGGAUGAGAGUCGCGGUAAUACGGCUUGAGGGUGGCGCGGCGAGCGGCGGCACGAGGAUUGGCGCCCACUCCUAGCGGGGAGCCUGCACCUGCUGCCUCGUCCACACACACACACACACACACACACACACACAGUAUACACUAGGCACUUUAUCCCUUCACCAUAUUCUUGUGCCAUCAUUUCCGAAAUUCGAAAACCCUAUACUGAAAUAGAUUCCCAUAAGACGAGUCUGUGGCAGGAUUUGUUGCCCAUUCACCCACCUGACUAACCCUGCACGGUAUCAAGGA